CCUACGGGUGACAGCAGUGAGGAAUAUUGGUCAAUGGACGUAAGCCUGAACCAGCCAAGUAGCGUGAAGGAUGAAGGCCCUAUGGGUUGUAAACCUCUUUUAUAUGGGAAUAAAGCAGGGUACGCAUACCGUCUUGUAUGUACCUUAUGAAUAAGGAUCGGCUAACUCCGUGCCAGCAGCCGCGGUAAUACGGAGGAUCCGAGCGUUAUCCGGAUUUAUUGGGUUUAAAGGGUGCGUAGGCGGACUGUUAAGUCAGUUGUGAAAGUUUGCGGCUCAACCGUAGAAUUGCCGUUGAAACUGGGAGUCUUGAGUACGGUAGAGGCAGGCGGAAUGCGUGGUGUAGCGGUGAAAUGCUUAGAUAUCACGAAGAACCCCGAUUGCGAAGGCAGCUUACUGGGCUGCGACUGACGCUGAUGCACGAAAGUGUGGGUAUCAAACAGGAUUAGAUACCCUGGUAGUC
rnacentral:rRNA from 1 species